GAGAAGAAAAGAUUGUGACUAAUAAUUGCAAUUCAUGACGGUAUCAACAGAAGAAGCACCGGCUAACUACGUGCCAGCAGCCGCGGUAAUACGUAGGGUGCGAGCGUUAAUCGGAAUUACUGGGCGUAAAGGGUGCGCAGGCGGUUCUGUAAGUCAGAUGUGAAAUCCCCGGGCUUAACCUGGGAACUGCGUUUGAAACUACAGAGCUAGAGUGUGGCAGAGGGGGGUGGAAUUCCAUGUGUAGCAGUGAAAUGCGUAGAGAUAUGGAAGAACAUCGAUGGCGAAGGCAGCCCCCUGGGUCAACACUGACGCUCAUGCACGAAAGCGUGGGGAGCAAACAGGAUUAGAUACCCUGGUAGUCCACGCCCUAAACUAUGUCAACUAGUUGUCGGGCCUUAUUAGGUUUGGUAACGUAGCUAACGCGUGAAGUUGACCGCCUGGGGAGUACGGUCGCAAGAUUAAAACUCAAAGGAAUUGACGGGGAC
rnacentral:rRNA from 1 species